rnacentral:rRNA from 1 species
CCUACGGGGGGCAGCAGUGAGGAAUAUUGGUCAAUGGACGAGAGUCUGAACCAGCCAAGUAGCGUGAAGGAUGACUGCCCUCUGGGUUGUAAACUUCUUUUAUAUGGGAAUAAAAUGUUCCACGUGUGGGAUUUUGUAUGUACCCUAUGAAUAAGGAUCGGCUAACUCCGUGCCAGCAGCCGCGGUAAUACGGAGGAUCCGAGCGUUAUCCGGAUUUAUUGGGUUUAAAGGGAGCGUAGGUGGAUUGUUAAGUCAGUUGUGAAAGUUUGCGGCUCAACCGUAAAAUUGCAGUUGAAACUGGCAGUCUUGAGUACAGUAGAGGUGGGCGGAAUUCGUGGUGUAGCGGUGAAAUGCUUAGAUAUCACGAAGAACUCCGAUUGCGAAGGCAGUUCACUGGACUGCAACUGACACUGAGGCUCGAAAGUGUGGGUAUCAAACAGGAUUAGAUACCCCAGUAGUC